CCUACGGGUGGCUGCAGUGGGGAAUAUUGGACAAGGGGGGCAACCCUGAUCCAGCCAUGCCGCGUGUGUGAAGAAGGCCCUCGGUUUGUAAAGCACUUUCAGUGAGGAAGAACGCCUGGUGGUGAAUACCCAUCAGGAAAGACAUCACUCACAGAAGAAGCACCGGCUAACUCCGUGCCAGCAGCCGCGGUAAUACGGAGGGUGCGAGCGUUAAUCGGAAUUACUGGGCGUAAAGCGCGCGUAGGUGGCUUGAUAAGCCGGUUGUGAAAGCCCCGGGCUCAACCUGGGAACGGCAUCCGGAACUGUCAAGCUAGAGUGCAGGAGAGGAAGGUAGAAUUCCCGGUGUAGCGGUGAAAUGCGUAGAGAUCGGGAGGAAUACCAGUGGCGAAGGCGGCCUUCUGGACUGACACUGACACUGAGGUGCGAAAGCGUGGGUAGCAAACAGGAUUAGAUACCCCGGUAGUC
rnacentral:rRNA from 1 species